GAUGAACGCUGGCGGCGUGCUUAACACAUGCAAGUCGAACGGUGAACACGGAGCUUGCUCUGUGGGAUCAGUGGCGAACGGGUGAGUAACACGUGAGCAACCUGCCCCUGACUCUGGGAUAAGCGCUGGAAACGGCGUCUAAUACUGGAUAUGUGACGUGACCGCAUGGUCUGCGUUUGGAAAGAUUUUUCGGUUGGGGAUGGGCUCGCGGCCUAUCAGCUUGUUGGUGAGGUAAUGGCUCACCAAGGCGUCGACGGGUAGCCGGCCUGAGAGGGUGACCGGCCACACUGGGACUGAGACACGGCCCAGACUCCUACGGGAGGCAGCAGUGGGGAAUAUUGCACAAUGGGCGCAAGCCUGAUGCAGCAACGCCGCGUGAGGGAUGACGGCCUUCGGGUUGUAAACCUCUUUUAGCAGGGAAGAAGCGAAAGUGACGGUACCUGCUGAAAAAGCGCCGGCUAACUACGUG
rnacentral:rRNA from 1 species